UCCGGUGGCCAUGGAGAGAAGGCAACACCCGUUCCCAUUCCGAACACGGCAGUGAAGGGUCUCUUCGGCGAGGGUACUGCGGGGGUUGCCCGUGGGAGAGUAGCGCGCCGCCGGAA
rnacentral:rRNA from 1 species